rnacentral:rRNA from 1 species
CGGAAUAACAGUUGGACACUACUGCAUAUUACCGGAUGAUGACGUACGUCCGAAGAUUUAUCGCCGAGGGAUGANCCCGCGUAGGAUUAGGUAGUUGGUGUGGUAAAGGUGCACCAAGCCGACGAUCCUUAGCUGGUCUGAGAGGAUGAUCAGCCACNCUGGGACUGAGACACGGCCCAGACUCCUACGGGAGGCAGCAGGGGGGAAUAUUGGACAAUGGGCGAAAGCCUGAUCCAGCAAUGCCGCGUGAGUGAUGAAGGCCUUAGGGUUGUAAAGCUCUUUUACCCGGGAUGAUAAUGACAGUACCGGGAGAAUAAGCUCCGGCUAACUCCGUGCCAGCAGCCGCGGUAAUACGGAGGGAGCUAGCGUUAUUCGGAAUUACUGGGCGUAAAGCGCACGUAGGCGGCUUUGUAAGUAAGAGGUGAAAGCCCAGAGCUCAACUCUGGAAUUGCCUUUUAGACUGCAUCGCUUGAAUCAUGGAGAGGUCAGUGGAAUUCCGAGUGU